GACAACAUUUACUAGUUAACAUGAUUUAAACUUCAAUUACAACUCACUCUAAAUAAAUACAUCCAUCAGAAUCUUUCUAGAACCAAGUAUUACAUGUUAAACACAAGAUUGAAAGAAGAAAAGAUGAUUCAUAUUCACAACAUCAAAUUUUUAUCUUAUUUUAAAAUCCAUACUUUGAGCUACACAUCAAGUGGCAUCCAUAUGGUUGAGGAAUACCUGGGAAUGAACAAAGCAAACAGACAAGGUGAAGAAUCUGCAGUCAAGCAGCAACAAUACAUCAGAAUCAACACCAGCUGAACCAUCUCAAACAAAAAAUGAGUAUGAAAGCAGUAAAGAACAGUCCCCCUCUAACAGUAACCACAACAACUUCAAAACCAAACCUUAAACACCCAACCUCAAUCUAUUUAAAAACUAAAUCAAUCAGAAAAUCUUUUCAGGAAUGCAAGAUUUGAGAAAUCACAGAAUGAGUUUCAAUGGAACAAUAAUUUCACUCCAAUUUCCAGUUGUUUGUGUUUUUCAGAAUUUUAUCUCUUCAUAAUAUGCCUUCAAUGCCAAGUAAAAGUACCUUUAAAGGCAAGGCAUUAGGGCAGCCUAAAAGUAUUCAGUUUUUGCACCUUACCCCUUCUGAAAUUCUCAUUUUUGCUUAGACCUCCUUAGUGUAAAAUUCAGACUUUUACAUAAUCUCCCACCCCAAUUUCUAGGAAGUUUACUUAGGCAGUUACAUCAAGAUUUCCUAAGACAAUUACCUAGAAUACCCCUUUAAACCCCUUCUUUUUACUUUCAAACAACCAAAUGGGUCAUGGGUCAAUUUGACUCAACGGUUUAAACUCCAAAUGAACAGGCCAGAAUUGAACUUAAGGCCCGAACAAAACUCAGAAACCUAUUUAGUAGAAAAGAGAAACAAUUAAAUGAUUUCAAACAUCAAAAUCUAACCAAGUAAUUGAUUUCUUUUAUAACUAAAUACUGAGCCGGAGUUAACCAAAUUACCGAAUCAACAAAGCCUAAAUUAAGCUAAUUAUAAAAAAUGUCAUAAAUAACAAAAACAUGCAAAGAACAGUAUCUAAAACCUGAAAAGAAAGACUAAAAAUCUAAUGGAGCAAGUGCGAUCACUAAAUUAUUCAAAAAGAGAAAACUAGGUCUGAACUUCUAUCUACUUUCCAAACAUUAGUAGAAGCGGGAAGACAAAGAAGAAAAGAGUAGGAAGAUGAAACGGCAUAUAAGGGCAAGCAAAAUGAAAAACACUUACCGAUUCACAUUCGAACCCAAUAUUGGACCUUCAAUUUAACACAAUCAGUGUUAACCGCCUGUUCUUUGUGAAGAACAAACGACCAACACUACUUAUGCCAAACUAGACUUCGAAAUAUUGAAAACUCGGAUGCUUGUGGUCAUGCAAGCCACAGAAUCAAAGGCAGAACAAUUUUGACUUUUUGGGGCCUCGAACUCUGACUUUAGAUUUAAGAUUCGACGAGAUUGAGGGUGAUUCGAGGGGAGCUAUGUUGACAUUUGGAAAAAAGGAAGGUGAGGGGGUUCGAUGGUGUUACUUUGGGGGUGGUUGGAGGUGGCGCCGCCAGUGGGUAGUGGUGGGAUUUAGGGCGGCUCUAGGGUUCCACGGUUGGUCUCUGAGAUGAGAAUGAGAGAGAU
rnacentral:lncRNA from 1 species